ACACACACACACACACACACACACAAUUAGAAAUACUAAUUUUCUUAUAGUCUAAUUUUCUUUUUUUUCUUUUUUUUUUUUUAAAGAUUUAUUUAUUAUAUGUAAGUACACUGUAGCUGUCUUCAGACACUCCAGAAGAGGGAGUCAGAUCUCGUUACGGAUGGUUGUGAACCACCAUGUGGUUGCUGGGAUUUGAACUCUGGACCUUCGGGAGAGCAGUCGGGUGCUCUUACCCACUGAGCCAUCUCACCAGCCCUAUAGUCUAAUUUUCUUAAUUUUCUGUAUUCUUUAUAAAAGAAUAUAAUUUGUGUAAGUAGACAAAGGUCUAAGCUUGACAUCAUUUUUCUAGGACUAUAGUGUGAAGUUGUAAGUUCAGAAUGGUCAUUUUACAUAUCGAAACAUUUUUGUUUCCAGAAGAGAAAAGCUCAAUGUAAAAGCUAUAGAAAAAAAAGGUCUGUUUUUGUUCUAGUUUAGGAAGUGGGUUUUGGAGAAUUAAGUUUUUAUGAUAAGCAGACAGUUUCAGUCACCAGAAGUAUAUUGUUUUCUAAGCCAGGUGCCUAGUUGAAGGAACUUCUGUGACAAGGAGGGGAAUUCUAUAGAGUUCUGUUGUUUGUUGGGGGAGACUCUCAUUCAAGUACAUGUCUUGUUUUUAUAGAAGUAACAUAAAAGUCAGAACUCAAGAAAAUUGUCAUAUAGCAGAACAUUGUGCCAGUUUAAAAUUUUUAGUCACUUUUCUAAAAGUAGAUAUUCUUUUUUUAGGUCCCGAUCACAUAGCAAGAAUCCCAAAAGGUAGGUACUGUAGCAUAUGGAUAUAAUAGUGAAGUUGUAUUUUUCAAAUGUAUGUUUUUAGAAUAUAUUUCUUUUAAACUUCAGUGAGAAUUAAUAAAUUACUAGUGAUCUAGCCAGGUGGUAGUGGUGUGUGAUUUUAAUCCCUGCAUUCAGGAGGCAGGGGCAGGGGCAGGCAAUCUACUGAGUUCUAGGCUAGCCUGAUUUACAGAGCAAAUUCUAGGACAGCCAGGGCUACACAGAGGAACCCUGUCUCACAACUAACAAACAAACAAUUACCACUGACUCUAUGGUACUUCAGGUGUGAGCCUUGCAAUUGAAGAGUAACUGCUCAGAACAUAAUCAGAACUACUACUUAGUUUUAUCAAAGUAGAAUUGUACAUUACCACUCUGGUAUUAAAUGAGCAAGCUAAAAAAAAAAAACCACACACAAAAAACUUUUUAGAAAUAUAGUAAAUAUGUAUGUGACAGGAGUUUUUUAAAGGCAAUUUGAAAUAAAAACAAAAUUCAGUUGGAAAUACAAAUAGCCUUUUACUUGGGAUUUUGCUGCUGUUGUAUGGGAUUUGUUUGGUUUUCUUUUUGAGUCUUGUUGAGCCAUCUGUGUAGCCCUGUUUGACUCCAAUUUGUCUUCUGGAACUCGUGGGUCUUUCUUCUAGACUGUUGGGAAAGAUUACAGGCAUAUGUCUGCAUGCCUAGUUUAUUAAUUUUCUAGGCAGGAUCUUGUUUGAGUUCAUUAUUCUCCUUCCUCUAUAUUCCUUAAUGCUGAGCUGUGACCACAUCUGGUGACAGUGUAGUCCAGUGUGCCAUAAGAUAAUUUUGUUUUCACACAAUAAUACUUCCAUUCACUUUAUAUAACACACUGCUUAGAGCUUCCUGGUUUGAAUGAUAAAAUACUUAGUCUUCAAGCUGCUCUUGUUUGCUCACUUCAUUGUAGCUCAAUAGAUUUCUUCUAGUCCUUCACCAUGUUGAACGUGCUCCCAUUCCAGCACUUUAUGGAUGAGUGCUCCUGUCUAUGCUGGCUGAUUCUCGUUUUCAGUGGGAUCUUGUCAGAAAAUCCUGUUCUUCCUGUUCAUAUGUAAACUGUUACUACCCAUUUUCCAUUUACUUAUUUCUUUACUAGAGGUAGAUUUCUAAAAACUUGUCUCUAAACUAUAAACUCCAACAAUGCAGGAACUUGAAUUUACUUUACUGUUUUUUUCUCUUGUAAAUAAAAUGUGUUAGGGGUUAGGUACAUAGUAAAUAUUUUGCAUAUUAUUUUCUUGACAUUUUAAAAAGUUGGAUUAUGUAUUAGAAAUAGGUUAACGAGCUCAAGAGUGGUUAAACAAAACAUCAUUGGUGAAAAUUCUUUUAAGUAGAUUUAAUUAUCUUAAUUUUUCCUUUGAAUUAUUUUAUCAGUAUAUGGGUGUUGCCUCCGUGUAUCUAUCUGUACGGCAUCCAUGCUUUGUGCCCAGAUCCCUUGGAACUGUAGUUAUAGAUGGUUUUAGCCAUCAUGUCGGUGCUAGAAAUUGAACCUGGCGUUUCUUAGAGCAGCCACCUCUCUAGCCCCUAUUUUACUUUUGAGACAGAGUGUCACUAUGUAUGUAUCCCUGUCUGGCCUGUUCUCACCAUGUAGGCCAGGCUUGAUCUGCCUACCUGUGCCUCUCAAAUGCCAGGAUUUAAGGCCUGUACCUUCUUUUCUGGUGUUCUUUCUCUUGUGAUAGAUUAGAUAGAUCUUUCUUUUGAUAGAUAGGUAAAUAAAACAAUCUUUCUGUCACACUAAAUGGAUGGAGGAAUGGACAGACAGCCUUCCUGUGCCUGUUUUUAGAAUCAGGUGUCAUAGCAAGCACAUUUCUAUAGCCCCAGUGUUUGCUUGGAAUUCCAUUGCUCAUGAGCAGAAGGAAGAGCCCCAGAUUACACAGAUAACAAGAUACAGGAUUACACAGUUCCACAGAGCAAGGUUUCAGCUGCCUUUGACUACAUGGGAAAUUCUGUUUAGUUGAAGAAACUAUUCAAUUGUGGUAAAACAUGAAGUCUACAAUAUGUACAUUUAUUUGACUAUAUAGUAUAGACUGGAGCUAAGUGCUUAAAAAACCCUUCUAUAGGAUCUAGAGAGAUGGCUCAGUGUUUAAGAGCACUGGUUGCAGAGGACCCAGCUUCUGUUCUCAGCAAUCACAUGGCAGUUCAUAGCAGCUCUCGGGGAUCCGGUGCUCUCUUUUGACCUUGUUGAUACCAGGCAUGCAUAUACCUCAUAGGCAUUCAUUCAAGCAAAUCAUUCAUACAUAUAAAAAUGAAAUGUAAAAACAUUUUUAUAUGAAAGUUCUUCUGUAGCUAGAUAUGGUGCUCGUGCCUUCAAUCCCAGCAUUGUGAGUUCAAGGCCAGCCUUGUAUUUCAAGAUUUAAAUUCAAAAAUUUUUUUAAAAAUUAUUAAAAAAAUUUUAAAAAGAAAAUUAAAAUAUUUACAAACAAAUUGUGUCACCUAAUUAAUUGCUUUUGAAAUUAUGAAAAAAUACUACAUUUUAAUGGUAACUUGAAAUGUUUUAUAUUAUUUAGGUGUAAUUUAUAUGCCCUAAGAUUUAUCUGUUUUAAAUUUGGAAUUAUCAAUACAAUCCAACUUAAACUUAAACAGUGUCUGUGUUUUUUUUUCUUUUUUCCUUUUUUGCCAUGUUCUAGAUAUAGUAUCCCAUGCUGUCUGAGUUUCCUUUCUGCCUUCGUCUCCUAAAUGCUGAGAUUACAAGCAUACAUAACCCACAUCAUCACUUCUGUCCUCUUAAAGUGACUUUAAGCUAAACAGUAAACUUAUCUUCUUUUUGUUUUCCCUCACAUAUUUCUGUUCUAUUCAUGCUAUCUACAUCCUUCUCUCUCUCUCUCUCUCUCUCUCUCUCACACUCACACACACACACACACACACACACACACACACACACACACACACACACAGAGUCCACCACACACAUUCAUGUUUUUGUAAAAUGCUCACCUGAUUUUUUUUGUUUUUGUUUACACUGUAAUAUUUGGCUUACCAUUGACAUUUAAAACUUUAGUGGUCAAAAUAUAAUUCAGAGAAAGGGUGGUUUAUCCUUAAAAUGUUCUUUAUUAUUUUUUUAAUAUGAUUUAUUUUUACUUGUGAGCACAUGUCCUAUGUGUUUGGGAGCUGGAGAGGGAAUGCCCUUGGAAACCAGGGGAGUGUGUUAGGUUCCCUGGAACUGGAAUUAGGAAUGCUGGAAUUAUAUGCUACCUCAGGUGCAUGGUGGAAACUGAACUUGUGUCAUAGAAGAGGAGCAACCACUCUUAACCUGCUGAGCUAUUUCUCCAGCCCCCUAAAAUUUUUAAGUAUGCUUAAAAGAAUAGCAGAAAAAUUUAAAAUUUGGCAUGAAAUUGUAAUACUGAUUGUUGCCUUAAUUUUUCUUCCAUAUUCCUGAUAAAACUUUUAAAAGGGAGCUGGAGAGCUUGCUAGGGGGUUAAGAGCACUGUCUGCUCUUCCAGAGGUCCUGAGUUCGAUUCCCAGCAACCACAUGGUGGCUCACAACCAUCUGUAAUGGAAUCUGAUCACUCUUCUGGUGUGUCUGAAGAGAGUGUCAGUGUACACG
rnacentral:lncRNA from 1 species